rnacentral:rRNA from 1 species
UACAGAGGUCUCAAGCGUUGUUCGGAUUCAUUGGGCGUAAAGGGUGUGUAGGUGGCGCGCUAAGUCGGGUGUGAAAUUUCGGAGCUUAACUCCGAAACUGCAUUCGAUACUGGCGUGCUUGAGGACUGGAGAGGAGACUGGAAUUUACGGUGUAGCAGUGAAAUGCGUAGAUAUCGUAAGGAAGACCAGUGGCGAAGGCGGGUCUCUGGACAGUUCCUGACACUGAGAACACGGAAGGCCAGGGGAGCAAACGGG